AUUGAACGCUGGCGGCAUGCCUUACACAUGCAAGUCGAACGGCAGCGCGGGAGCAAUCCUGGCGGCGAGUGGCGAACGGGUGAGUAAUACAUCGGAACGUGCCCAAUCGUGGGGGAUAACGCAGCGAAAGCUGUGCUAAUACCGCAUACGAUCUACGAAUGAAAGCAGGGGAUCGCAAGACCUUGCGCGAAUGGAGCGGCCGAUGGCAGAUUAGGUAGUUGGUGAGGUAAAGGCUCACCAAGCCUUCGAUCUGUAGCUGGUCUGAGAGGACGACCAGCCACACUGGGACUGAGACACGGCCCAGACUCCUACGGGAGGCAGCAGUGGGGAAUUUUGGACAAUGGGCGCAAGCCUGAUCCAGCCAUGCCGCGUGCAGGAUGAAGGCCUUCGGGUUGUAAACUGCUUUUGUACGGAACGAAACGGCUCUUUCUAAUAAAGAGGGCUAAUGACGGUACCGUAAGAAUAAGCACCGGCUAACUACGUGCCAGCAGCCGCCGUAACAC
rnacentral:rRNA from 1 species